CAUUACAAAUCCAACCACAUACGGUUUGAUUUUUAACUUGAAUGGAGACACCCAAGAUGUGCCACUAACCCUGGACUCCUUAUCCUCAGGACUGACAAGACAUCUCGUGGGCCCCCAUGUUGGGAAGCUCCUGUGUGACCAUAGGUGCGUGGAGUCACCUUGGGCUCUGGAAGAUACGGGGACAUGCCUGCAAGCCGUGAGGAGCACCACCAGCACCAGGACACUCACUUCCCAUCCGACUCCAGAACCAGCAUCUGGACUGGAGCUCGUGCAGUUAAAGGCCACAGAACCUUCCCUGUCUUCCUGCAGGAGCCUGGUGCACACAUGUGUUCACAUUUAUUCCACAGUAUUUAUGAGCACCAUGUGGGCCGGGGCAGGGAGAGCUCUCACCAUGGAGCCCUGAAGACCUCACGUGUCCACACAGUCACGCAGGCAGAGCUUGACCCAGAACCAAGCUGUCUUGGCAGAAAUGCUUCUGACCCUCCUGCUCAGCCCGUCUCCCGAGUAGCUCCCGCCUGCCCUGCAGGGAGACGUGCCCGUGCUCUCCUGGCUUCUGUGAGGGAUGGGCAUUCCUGGCCUGCCCAUCUCAGGAUGGAGGGAGGGGACUGUAUGCCACUCAGUGACAUCCAGACCUGGCUCCUGGGCAUUGCUGCAUCCUAAGACUGGCAUUGCAUGUGCAGUGAUGUUCUUUUGGAGAGUGGGAUGCGACCAUGGAGAGCGGGCACCUGGGGCUGUUCUUUCCUCUGUGAUUUGAGAAGUGCACUGUCCACAAGAUACACAGAGCUGCUGUGUAUCUUUUCCAGCUGUGCCAGUCACACCUGUUUAUGCCAAUUUCAUUGCUUUGCCAUGUGUAGAAGCAACACAUUGAGCAGAGCAGACGUGGUGGCUUUUCUACUCAGCUGUUGUGCAUGUGUGCACGCACGUGUGCAUGGGUGAUUACAGAUUAUACUAAUACUAGAUUCUGUGCAAUAGAAAACUUGAUAUGAA